GACAUGGGCAUCUAGCGUCGUAGAAACCCAGAGCCCACCGGCCCCAUCCGGCCCCCGUCUGUAGCGACUCAAACCUUAAUCAGUCGUUGGUCUCGUCUUAGAUUCAGGAGCCGUAUGUCUAUCCCAUGCAUGUUUAAUACCCUCACUGUAUUACCCUCUACCACUUCUACUGGGAGGCUGUUCCACUUAUCCGCCACACUUCCCUACAUUACUGCUAAUAUCAUUAAAUGCAUCUAAGGCUGGAUUAUUAUGGAAGCAGCGUCUCAGUCGCUGCGGGUUGUUGGCCGGCCCUCGCGGCAUCUCGUUAGUGCCGGUUGGGGGUCUGUGUGGGUGUUCUGCACGUGUGACGGGGGUAGCCGUGUCCGUGUGUUUGGGGUCAGGGAUCCCGUGUGAUCGUUGUGAUCGGUAACCGGCUUCUCUCUUCCAGUCUCCUGACCUCACCGCCGGCCUGAAAUAUACCGAAGACUCGAGGACAUCCGACUGACCCCCCGCUCCCUUGUAGUCCCAGCAGCAGCCGCAGUGCAUUCUGGAUGAAGGCGCGCCCCGGGAGCAGCCGGCCGAAGAUCCGAGCCCCGCCCCCAACACGUCCGCCCUGGAAGAGAUGGCCUCCUACAGCAACAAGAGGAAGCUUCGGCACACGAGGCGGAGCCUGGAGACCGCCGUUCCCACCUAAACCCCGCCGAGCACUUUGCCAGCACUGUGAAUAUUCACGACACAAAGACCUUACGCACGGGGGAGCCGAGGGACCCCUGCCCGGUGCCGGCCCCCCAGUCCGAGACGCUGUGAGAGCGGUGGGCUCGGUGGACUCGGCGGUGACGCCAGCUGUCGGGUUGCUUUUCUUCCUCUGGGUGGCGGUUUUCACGGCGCCUGCAUGUCGGUUUCGGUGUGAAUGUGCGGCCGGCGUGUUGGCGUUGGCCGGCGGCUUCUCAGCGAGCGGGCUGAUUGGU